CCCUCCUGGGCUGUGUCAUAGCCUGUUUUAUAGUCCUGGCGUGAUUUCCAUGUACAUUAGAAAAGAUGUCAUUCAGUGGUUAACAGAGCGGCCUUAUAAGGCAAAUCAAUCAGGUUAACACCAGCCUGUGUAAAGGGGGAAAAGUCAGUAAAGAAAGUCUCAGCAAUAGGCAGUGUGCAGAUUUGGACAAAAUCCUGAUGAUGGCAUCUGGAAGGCUGUAGUGUGGGAAACGUUUACACAGUUGUGUCUGUAUUAGGCAGAGAACACAGAGGUGGCUGUGGAGAGGGUUGGCCAGAUGGCUCUUUGGCCCACUGUUGCCAGGCCUCAUCCAGUGUCUGAGAAAAGAUACUUCACAGGUGAGAUGAAGAACAAUGCUGGUUGCUGGAAGCAGGAUGAAUGAGAAUCAGGAGGACUCUCACCUAUGGAAAAUGACCCCUGGAACUGAAGGGUCUGGAUCGAAGCCCAUCAGAAUGAAGGCUGUGGCCAACCUGCCACCCAGCAUGUGGAUGAACUUGAAUCUUGGUACCAGCCCAGGU